UGGGGAAUUGUUCGCAAUGGGCGGAAGCCUGACGCAGCAACGCCGCGUGGGGGAUGAAGGUCUUCGGAUUGUAAACCCCUGUUGGGUGGGAAGAAAACCUUCGUGGUGAACAUCCACGGAGGCUGACGGUACCACCCGAGGAAGCCCCGGCUAACUCUGUGCCAGCAGCCGCGGUAAUACAGAGGGGGCAAGCGUUGUUCGGAAUUACUGGGCGUAAAGGGCGCGUAGGCGGCCUGUUAAGUCGGACGUGAAAUCCCUCGGCUCAACCGGGGAACUGCGUCCGAUACUGGCGGGCUUGAGUUCGGGAGAGGGAUGUGGAAUUCCAGGUGUAGCGGUGAAAUGCGUAGAUAUCUGGAGGAACACCGGUGGCGAAGGCGGCAUCCUGGACCGACACUGACGCUGAGGCGCGAAAGCCAGGGGAGCAAA
rnacentral:rRNA from 1 species